rnacentral:rRNA from 1 species
GACGAACGCUGGCGGCGUGCUUAACACAUGCAAGUCGAACGAUGAUGCCCAGCUUGCUGGGUGGAUUAGUGGCGAACGGGUGAGUAACACGUGAGUAACCUGCCCCUGACUCUGGGAUAAGCGUUGGAAACGACGUCUAAUACUGGAUAUGACUGCCGGCCGCAUGGUCUGGUGGUGGAAAGAUUGUUGGGUUGGGGAUGGACUCGCGGCCUAUCAGCUUGUUGGUGAGGUAAUGGCUCACCAAGGCGACGACGGGUAGCCGGCCUGAGAGGGUGACCGGCCACACUGGGACUGAGACACGGCCCAGACUCCUACGGGAGGCAGCAGUGGGGAAUAUUGCACAAUGGGCGAAAGCCUGAUGCAGCAACGCCGCGUGAGGGAUGACGGCCUUCGGGUUGUAAACCUCUUUUAGUAGGGAAGAAGCGAAAGUGACGGUACCUGCAGAAAAAGCACUGGCUAACUACGUGCCAGCAGCCGCAGUAA